UUCCGUUCACGUCGUUAUCGAACAGCCUGACGUUAGCUUACGCGAAGCGAUGCUUCGGCUGCACUGGUUGACUAAACAAACAAAAAAAAAAUCUUUUGUUGCAUGGCGCUUUCACUGUCGCAAAUUAAUCGACUGCCUCGUAGGUCUCUUGAAAUGCACACUGGAAGUAUAAAUCGUCGAUGUCAAGUGUGUAUGCGUAACUUGGGCGUCUCGGGUCUUUUUUUUUGCAUGGUCUUGUUUUUAGCGUCUGGAUAUCUGGAGUAAUACAAAAUUAAAAGAGGCGAUACAAGAAUAAGCAUCAAGAUUUCAGUCGAGCUGUGGACCACCGAGACAUUGAAAGUCAAUGACAAAAACACAAAGCAGUCACAUGACCACAGAAGUUGGGAGGUGGAGAAGGCUUGGUGAGUGGGAGUAGGAGUGAAGGAUGGAGGAGCGAACUCGGAGCUGGCGAGCACAGCUGUGGACCGCCACGGGGCUCUCUCUUCCUCAUCUCCUCACGAGGCCCCGGCUCCCCGUCUCGGGGUCUCGUGGAGACGGCAGGGGCCAGCCAGGGAGCGGCGGAGUGGG